GUUCAAAACUGAGGCCAGUUUGGUUCUGCUGGACUAGAAUCAGGAUGCAUCCCAAACAGGUGAGACCGGCCUUAGAAGUUUUUAAGCAGCACUUUUUUUUUUUUUUUUAGCAGUUUUGACUUGACUCCUCUUCAUGUUGCCCUCUAGCAUAACUCAGAGAACUCUUUCAGGUUCACCUGUCCGGACUAGGCCAGACCAGGACAGACCAGUGAAGGAUUUACUCCAUCAGAUAUAGAGUGAGCAGACUGUGCACCGCCGUCUGUUUUCUGAUGACACGGCAGUUUGUGAAGGCCAGGACAUUUUUUUUCUUCUCCAGGAUCCACAGGGAGCCUAUGACGCUGGAAAUGCUGGAUAUGUCAUUCACUAGUGACUUGUGAUGGAGAAAGAAGAAACACAGCAAACUGCAAACAAGAGAGCAAUGUCAGCCUGAAUGAUGGAGUGGUAACGAAAUGGCCAUUCAACCUGAUUAUCAGCCUAAUUCAACCAAUUAAGUUUGUCAUGGCAGAGUGCCAAAGUCUCCAAGGAAUCUGUAACCAUGACAACAGAAGGCUUCCUCAUGCAUCCAGGGUGUUUGUUCAAAUUGUCCUUUUUCAAUUGUAUUAUCAUUUCCUUUCUCUGGCAUGUUGAGUAUUUAGGUGUCUGAUGCCUCCCUUAUGCUAUCGGCACAAAUCUGAUAUUGUAUGUAACAAGACCUGAUCUUUUCAUGGAUGUCUAAACAGAAACCUGUUUUCCAAAAAAACAACAGAAAUAUGACCUUAAUCUUGAGGCCAAAGUGAGAGAAAGAGUCAUCAUACUAAAAAUAAAUCGCCA